AUACGGAGGAUCCGAGCGUUAUCCGGAUUUAUUGGGUUUAGAGGGUGCGUAGGUGGUUUGAUAAGUCAGCGGUGAAAGUUUGCAGCUUAACUGUAAAAAUGCCGUUGAAACUGUCGGACUUGAGUGUAAAUGAGGUAGGCGGAAUGCGUGGUGUAGCGGUGAAAUGCAUAGAUAUCACGCAGAACUCCGAUUGCGAAGGCAGCUUACUAAGCUACAACUGACACUGAAGCACGAAAGCGUGGGGAUCAAACAGGAUUAGAUACCCUGGUAGUCCACGCAGUAAACGAUGAUUACUAGCUGUUUGCGAUACACAGUAAGCGGCACAGCGAAAGCGUUAAGUAAUCCACCUGGGGAGUACGCCGGCAACGGUGAAACUCAAAUGAAUUGACGGGG
rnacentral:rRNA from 1 species